UACAGAGGUCCCGAGCGUUGUUCGGAUUCACUGGGCGUAAAGGGUGCGUAGGUGGCAGGGUAAGUCGGAUGUGAAAGCUCGGAGCUCAACUCCGAAAUGGCAUUGGAAACUACCCAGCUCGAGGGUUGGAGGGGGGACUGGAAUGCUUGGUGUAGCAGUGAAAUGCGUAGAUAUCAAGCGGAACACCAGUGGCGAAGGCGAGUCCCUGGACAACUCCUGACACUGAGGCACGAAAGCUAGGGGAGCGAACGGG
rnacentral:rRNA from 1 species